AGAACCGCUGCAAUAGAAUGUAUUUGGUUUAAAAGAGGGGCGGCUGGUAAAAUUCAGAGAGAGACUUAGAUACGUGUGUACAUUGAAUAGUUAGAUCAGUAUAAUCUAAUGAAUUGAGAUAAUUUAUAAAUCGUCGUUAUUAUUGUAAUAGUAUUGUUAUAUCUGUAUACAUUUAUAUUGUGUUUGUGGAUUGUAUUUCUCUACACGUUUACACUGAGUGAUGAGUUAUGGUGAUUUUAAAUAUUUGUAACAAAAAAAUAAAGUUCAUUUUGUUCAUUAAAAAAAAAU